CCUACGGGUGGCAGCAGUGGGGAAUAUUGCUCAAUGGGGGAAACCCUGAAGCAGCCACGCCGCGUGAGGGAUGGAGGUUUUCUGGUUGGUAACUCCUUUUGUUAAGGGAGUUAAUUACGGUAACUAACGACUCAUGACCUGAUCACUCCGUUCCGGCAGCCGCGGUCAUGCGAAGGGUGCAAGCGUUAAUCGGAAUCCCUGGGCGUGAAGCGGGCGUAGGCGGGAGAGUAAGUCAGAUGUGAAAGCCUAUGGCUUAACCAGAGAAUUGCAGUGGAAACUGGGAGUCUUGAGUAUGGGAGAGGCAGGUGGAAUUCUUGGUGUAGGGGUAAAAUGCGUAGAUAUCAAGAGGAACACCGAUUGCGAAGGCGACCUGCCAGAACAUAACUGACGCUGAUGCGCGAAAGCGUGGGGAGCAAACAGGAUUAGAUACCCUUGUAGUC
rnacentral:rRNA from 1 species